UUGCCCCUCUCCCCCACUUACAUUCUCUCUUUCUACAAAACAAAACAAAACAAAAAAUUCAAACAUCUGAAAUGAUGAUAGGAAGAAUACCCCGGUGGAGCUCAUCCUGACCGGUAUCUGAAGGUUUAUGCUGACAUUGUGGGUUUGGUUCCAGAGCACUGCAAUCAAGCAGAUAUUGCAAUAAAGACACAUACUUUGUCUGCAAGUUUUUUCAUAUUAUGGCAAGUCUCCAAAAAGGUUUUCAAUAAAUUUAUAUAAGAAUCUGCAUAUAAAUGGACUCACACUGUAUAAACCAGUGUUGCUCAAAGGCCAACUUUAAUAGUUCAACAUCAGUGGACAUAACAAGGUGAAGAUAUUGAGAACUAACUGUUGGGGCCUACUUUAGAGGAACAGGACCUGAGAAAAUACAUACUCAUUCUGCUUGAUAUCUCUGAUCACGCUAGAAAUCUCCACAUGAAUGUUUAUAGCAGCUUUAUUCCUACAUUGCCAAAAACUGAAGAAAGCAAGAUGUCCUCUAAAAGGCAAGCACCAGGGGAGGGCUUUGCAAACAAAGAAGAGAGCUCUCAUUAAGAACUCAGUGGGAUGGCAUCUUGAUCUUGAACUUCCCAGCCAUCAGGAAGGCAUAACUUAGAAGAAAUAAAUUUCUGCUGUUUAAGCUA